UUUUCCACGUUUCCUUAUCAUUCGUCUGUCCGGUCUGUUCGGGAGAACUGGACGGAGAACUGAUAAGGGCUUGUGGGCAA
rnacentral:pre_miRNA from 1 species